GUCGUGGCUUAGGCGUAGGGCACCUGCUUUGCAUGCAGAAGGUCACAGGUUCAAACCCUGGCAUCUCUA